GGUCGUUUAGUUCAACAGUUGGUAGAGUGUGAGACUCUUGAUCUCAGGGUCAUGGAUCUGAGCCCCACGUUGGGCA